rnacentral:sRNA from 1 species
GCCGGGAGUGGUGGUGCAUAUCUGUAAUCCCAACUCCUUGGAAGGCUGACACUGGAGGAUCAUAGGUUUCAAUCCAGCCUGGGCAACUUUGUGAAAUCCUGUUUCAA